rnacentral:rRNA from 1 species
UACGUAUGGUGCAAGCGUUAUCCGGAUUUACUGGGUGUAAAGGGAGCGCAGGCGGCACGGCAAGCCUGAUGUGAAAGCCCGCGGCCCAACCGCGGGACUGCAUUGGGAACUACCGGGCUGGAGUGCCGGAGAGGUAGGCGGAAUUCCUAGUGUAGCGGUGAAAUGCGUAGAUAUUAGGAGGAACACCAGUGGCGAAGGCGGCUUACUGGACUGUAAAUGACGCUGAGGCUCGAAAGCGUGGGGAGCAAACAGG